rfam:Canis lupus familiaris chromosome 9, whole genome shotgun sequence.
GCCUGGAUGGCUCAGUCGGUUAAGCGUCUGUCUUUGACUCAGGUGAUGAUCUCAGGGUCCUGGGAUCGAGUCCCUCUUCAGGCU